rnacentral:lncRNA from 1 species
GUAGACAGCUCAUUUUGAUCUGCAAUGUACACGCAAAAGGAAACUUCUGGAGAUGAUGGAUGUGUCUGUCUCCUUGUUGUGGUGAUGGUAACAUAAAUUAAUGUUCUAUCACACCUUAAAGAAUGGGGCCUCACUUCUCUCAAACCUUCCCUUCCACAUGCCCUGGGUGAGGAGACAUGGAAUCAGUGACUCAAAGGACAAGUGGCACCAUUGCCACUAUCACUCAGGAGGUGAAUUGAUGCAAAAAUAAGACAGAUCAGAAGCAGGUGAUACGCUGCUAUUCAUAAACCCGUUCAUCCGAAAAUUGAAUGCCUCUCUCCAGACGUCACCCCUAAUGGGUAGCUGUACCUGGGCAUGCUCACCCAGCUUUUGGAUGAAACUCUUCCUCCGAGGGUGACAGGGAGUGGAGAAAUGAUGCUGGCCACGGGACAGGCAUGGAGAGCCUGCCCUUCCAACUUGCUUCUGUGAGUGCUCGUCUGGGGAUCCCUGCAGCACCUCCGACUCACCACGUCCAGGACUCAAUGCACCACCUGCGUCUCCUGUGUUCUCCAGUGCUGAAAACGGCAUCACCAUCCUAACACCCAAGCUUCUCAGUCAUUUUUGAAUCAUCUUCUUCUCUGCAGCCCAUACUUAAUGAACUCUUCAGUCUUGCUGAUUUUAAGGUGCCAACUUCUCAGGCUUUUUCCUCCUCUCCAUUAUCCUGGUGCAAACCCUUGAGAAUGGCCCUUGAGCCCCUGACCUAAGCCCUAGAAAUAGUGCCAUGAGCAAACAUCUACACUCGUUUCUUUCAAAAGACCUUUGCUAAGCCAUGGCUAACAUUUUCAUUUCCGUCAUACCUGGACUGCUGUCGCUGGUCUCUACAACCAAGAGCGCUCUGCACACACUGUUGUUCUGACUCUCUCAAUCACUCCAAAUAUAUAAAAGACUCACUUCCACCCAGACACAUCCCCCCCAUUUGAUACAGUUUGGACCUAUUUCCCUGCCCAAAUAUCACGUCGAAUUGUGGUCCCCAGUGUUGGAGGUGGGGCCUGGUGGGAGGUGAUUGGAUCAUGGCUGCGGAUUUCCCCCUCAGUACUGUCCUCACGAUAGUGUAUGAGUUCAUCUGAGAUCUGGUCAUUUAAUAGUGCGUAGUAUCUGCUCCCUAAUCUCGCUCCUGCUCCAACCAUGUAAGACGGGCCUGCUUCUCCUUCGCCUUUUGCCACGAUUGUAAGUUUCCUGAGGCAGAAGCCCAGGAGCAGAAGCCGCUAUGCUUCCUGUACAGCCUGCAGAACCAUGAGCUCAUCAAACCUUGUUUCUUUAUAAAUUACACAGUCUCAGGUAUUUCCUUACAACUGUGUGAGAAUGCACUAAUACACCCCUCAGGAAGUUUCCCUGUCCUCUAGAAGUGUAACUAUAUCUCAGCUUGGGAGGGCAAGCAGGGAUUAAGGUCCUAUAGGCCCCAAAUGCCCAUAGGCAUGAAUAGCUUUUCUUCCAGCAUUGGAAUAGAUGCAGCAGCUGAAGUGGCUCGCUUCUGUUAGGGCGUGGUUGCACUGGAGGGCCAUGACGUAAUUACUACACUUCAGAGGCAGGUGAAGAGCUGAAACUGACAGAGGAAUGCAGGAUUCUUAUGUUUGAUCUCAUGGUCUCUCCAGAGUGUGGACCCAAGAGUAGCGUGGAAGGUGGAGUGGACAGAAGGGGGCCUGGCCUGCUCUCUGGGCCUGGUUGGAUUUGAAUAAAUUACAGUAGAUGCAUGCUGACUUCACAUUGCAAUCGCAGCCUCGUCCUGCUUGUUUUUAUUUUCAACUCAAGUCCGUCAAUCAGUUUUCAUCCUUCAGGUUUGGCCCUGUUGUUUCCUCACUCAUGUAUAAUCUUUCACACAAACUAUCUCUUAGGGUAGGGGCGUGGGGGAACUAUAGACUAAUUCCCUUCAUUCAUUUUGUAUGCAUCCACUGCAGUAAAAAUCAAUUUAGAAUCCAUCACUCUUAGGAUGCUUUUCUGAUUAAGUAAGAAACAUUUACCAUCCACACAGCAUAUCAAGCUUUACCACUGGACAAUUUUAAUGCAGAUUAAAGCAUAAAGUAGCUCUCUGCUUUUUCCAAGAUCCAGACUGGUCCCCUAGAAAGCCUUCCCCGAUGCCCCCAGAUAAAGCGAGUCAUCCCCUCUACUCAGUCCCACCCCACAGAAUCCAGCCCAGUAUAAUAAGGUCACAGCCUACAUCGCCUUUAUUCAUGUGUCUCUGGAACUCAGCAUGCAGUAGGUAUUCAUUAAGUAUUGAUUUUAUGAGAUUCAAGGUUUCUAUUUGUAUAUAAGAGAUUUAGUUGGCUAACUAACAGUUUCAAUGGUUGAUUACAAUCCUAAAUGAUCCAUGUCACUGGGAAAUCAUAGACACAUCUUUAAAGAAGCUUCCUCUUUUAUUUCCAGCUUUGUUGAGAUAUAAUUGACAAAUAAAAAUUGUAUAUACUUAAGUUGUACACAUGAUGUUUUGAUAUAUGAAUACAUUGUGAAAUGAUUAUCAUAAUCAAGCUAAU